AGUGAACGCUGGCGGUAGGCCUAACACAUGCAAGUCGAACGGCAGCACAGUAAGAGCUUGCUCGUACGGGUGGCGAGUGGCGGACGGGUGAGGAAUACAUCGGAAUCUACUUUUUCGUGGGGGAUAACGUAGGGAAACUUACGCUAAUACCGCAUACGACCCAUGGGUGAAAGCAGGGGAUCUUCGGACCUUGCGCGAUUGAAUGAUCCGAUGUCGGAUUAGCUAGUUGUCGGGGUAAAGGCCCACCAAGGCGACGAUCCGUAGCUGGUCUGAGAGGAUGAUCAGCUACAUUGGAACUUAGACACGGUCCCGACUCCUACGGGAAGCAGCAGUCGGGAAUAUUAGACAAUGGGCGCAAGCCUGAUACAGCCAUACCGCGUGGGUGAAGAAGACCUUGGGGUUGUAAAGCCCUUUUGUUGGGAGGGAAAAGCAGCAGUUUAAUACCCCGCUGUUCUGACGGUACCCAAAGAAUAAGCACCGGCUAACUUCGUG
rnacentral:rRNA from 1 species